AAGAAUUUUUUUUUUUGUUAUACAACAAAGGACAAUAGUAAAUGGUUCAAUUGACUUCUCGAUUUGCUUACGUUUUUUGUAAGUACAUCAUUUUUAUUAAAGUAUUUAUAACAUAUAUUAUAAAUACUUUUUAUUUGUAAACAAAAAUGUAACCAUAUGAUCAGCAUGAGUUUCCAACUUCCCUUCCAGCUAAAUGUUAAAAUUAUUAUCUGUUAUGCCGAGUUUUACCGUAGUUUUGUCCUAAAAUUGAAGCAGCAGCUUAGGACCGGCCGGCCAAUUGCUGCUGACAGAUUCAGGAGUGACCGCCUUAAGCAUAAAAAUCUAUGUCGUUGCGGUAUAAAUACUCGAUGGUCGCGCGAACUUUCGAAUUUUAGUCGCUUCUUACAAAUGGCAUGCUUUACCGCGAAAAAAUUCUUUGAUCACUACCUAGCUGGAUGGGAUAGGGCUAUCAUUUUUGAUGUGUGUGGUCCUGCGUUGUUCUGGGCAAUCGAAACGGAUAUACUUCGCCUUUCACACCGUGGAAUAACUUUUAAAUCAAAAUUACUGGAACGGAAUCGGCGAAACAACAAUUUUGCACGAUUGCCUGUUGCAGUAUCGUGAUUUUCCAGUUCAUGCACACUAUUCACAUUUUUAGCUCCCAGACCUCCGUAUUUAUCUCUAUGGAAGAAAAAUCAUGGAAUAUAACGUAUUUUCUCUUGCUGGUGCGCUCAAACACUACUGAGCUAAGUGAUCAAUACUUCUCAAGUUUUCCUUUUUUUCAUUACAAAAUCAGCUUUCUAUCGCUUUAUAGAAUUGUUCAAUCGUACUUAUAGGACGCGAAAUACAGAUCACUGAAUCCAACUUAUGUGAAAAUAAUAGAUUAUCUUGUACUCAUGUAGAUAUAUAUAUACAUUUAUAUGUAUAUAGAAUUAAUACUUUGUGACCGCUGAAGCUAUUUUCUGCCAAACAAACCAUUGGAGGGACGAAAAUAUUUUUAUGAGAAGCUUUUCUUUCAUGUCGUAAAACACUCGAAGGUCUUCGCAUUCCCUGCCGAGGGUGAUUGCAAAAUAAAUUUUCUAUUAUUUUCGAUAUUGGGUGAGACCAGUACUCAAACAUCCGCCUUCCCAAUAGCAAUGGAAACUGAGAAUUAGCAACAGUUUAGCAAAAGUAAAGCUGUUGCAUUACUGCGGCAGCCAUUGAGUUAUUCACACAAGCUCUUUAUCUUCUUUUAGUAAAGGUUAUUAUACUUGGCUUACUAACUGUAAUAUUCCAAUUUAUAGGAAAACUACUAAAAAAAUCGAAUUAAAUCUUGUGGUUUUCAGAAUAUUUGCUCCACGUUGUUGCGUUUGUAUGGAGCCCAUAAUGCCGAAAUCUGGUGAGGAGGAAACAGUACGAGUAGUAGCAUUGGAUCGUAGUUUCCAUUUUGAAUGCUAUAAAUGUGAAGAUUACGGCUUGUUUCUUUCAAUCUGAAGCAGAAGGGCGAGGCCGUUACCCUCUAGAUGGACACGUUCUUUGCAAGAGCUGCAACGCAAAGCGUGUGCAAACGUUAACUAGCCGAAUGGCAAUAGAGUUGUAAUGAAAGUUAUUUCUAAAGGGAGUUUUACAUCGUUGUUUCACACAAUUUACGUUUGCGAUUGUUUAAAAAUAAUCUUACAUUCCGCUCUUCCGCAAUGUAUUCGCGAUAAGCUGUUAUUUUCUUAUUCAAGGAUAGUUAAAUCAGUAUUAAAAACUAUUUUAUAAUUUA
rnacentral:lncRNA from 1 species